rnacentral:misc_RNA from 1 species
UAAUAAGUGUUUUAUGGCACUUUUUAAAUCCAUAUCCACCUUGUGUGCAAUGUCAGUCGAUCUUCUUUCAUGGAGAUCGACCAAAACAUCAACCUUUAUCUUUUAACUCUUUGUCUGAAAAAUAUUAUGAUAAAACAAUUCAAAAAUA